GCUUACGGCCAUACCACCCUGAGAACGCCCGAUCUCGUCUGAUCUCGGAAGCUAAGCAGCGUCGGGCCUGGUUAGUUCUUGGAUGGGAGACCGCCUUGGAAUACCAGAUGCUGUAAGCU
rnacentral:rRNA from 1 species